CACACCACACAGAUAGUGAUAAUUUGGAGUGUUACUGUGCAACUUUGCGUGCUGAAUAAACUGAACAGUAGUCUCAGACACAUGCUCGCACAGACUAAAUUUACAUUGGAACAUUGUUCACCAAAAGCAUAAAAUUAACUAUCUAGAAGGGGGAUGGGCCAUAUUCUCGCACCUUCGUCCUCUUUUGGCCAGGAUGGGAUGACAGCAGUCGUUGAAGGUCGUAGCAAUAACAAACAAAACCUGUGGAAGAGAAAAAGAACACAUCUUAAUACUAUAUUUUUUUGUGUGUUGUGGGUGCCUACUAGGUUACGGCUUGUUAAAUUUGUAAAAUGGACUGCUAAAGCUUAAUUGCACCUCUAAGUUGUAGGCCGAUGACUUGCAGUCAGUAACCUUAACCUUCGUCCUCUUUUGGCCAGGAUGGGAUGACAGCCGUUGACGGUCGCAGCAAUAACAAACAAAACCUGUGGAAGAGAAAAUAACACAUCUUAAUACUAUAAUAGCAGGGUUGCCAACUUUGGGACUUUGGCUGGAGUGAGACUCUAAAACAUAAGUGUGAGCUAAUUUUUUUGGACAACCCUUAACCCUAAAAAAGUGUUUUAUACAAAAUAGUCCUCGUUUAGUAAACCCUCAUCUAAGAAAAAAAGUUAAAGAAUGGAAACGCUUUUUCAUAAUGUACAAACUGGGCCACCUUGAAUCAUUUGGGGAAUUUAAAAGUGCCACUUGCCCGAUUCUUAAGUAUUCCAAGAUAUACCCUGGGUUAGGCUCUACACCCCGUGAAAAUCGACAAGAUAUACUCUUUGGUAUAGACAAACGUCCCACCAAUAUUUAUACCACUUAUGUCAUUCAUGGUUUUAUAUUUAUAAUUUUUUAUUUUACUUUACAUUUAAUUCUUCAUAAUUCAGGCAUUACAGAACUUUCAUGGUCAUAAAUAAAAAAUACGAACUGCAGUUUAAUUUCUUUGUUUGUUCUUGAAUUGACGUAGAAUGGAGCAAAGGCUCAUGGGAUUGGGAAAUGCGUUUAUCCAAUAAACAGAUGGAGGUCAAGUCUAUUUAUUAAAUUAAUUUUUGAUUAAAACCGUGCAUUCUGUGUGAAUGUGUAUUUGAAUGUUAACAUUUCGUUUUUAGUUAUGUAAUCAUUUGAAAGUCCCUUCAAGUUGAAAAAGCACAUGCAUUCUUAUUAUGGCCACACCUGGCGUACUAAAUCAACUGUGAUCAGAUUGGUUAAAAAAAUAGAGGCUGCGUGUGAUUUCAGUUCCGGUUCAAUGCAUUUGUAAUGAGGGGGCGCACUUCUGUGCAGUGUGCACAUUAGUCGUCGUUGCCAGCAGGCUGCACCCGACAGCCAAGGGAUUUACAUGUGGCAUAGCAAGUCUCUGAAGCAGUGUCUCACACUCGAGUCCUGACCGAGGGCCUUGAAACUGGCAUGCCUGUUCAAAACAUCUCCAGGACAACAAGAAGAUGAAGGAGAAUGCGUGCAGUGGGCUGAAUAGAGAAUUCGUGAAUCAAAGGCAACACCAUCAAAUGCAUUAUGAAAUUAAGCACUAUCAGGUUGUCAAGGCUGUAGCUCAGCGGGCACAUGGUCCUGGAUACCUGAUAUAUAUAUAUUUUUUUUUUUAACUAUUUAUAUAUGGAAUCUGAAUGCACUCCAAGAAAUGCUGCAGUUCUUUGGGCCACAAGAGGCCAAGAAGCUCUACUACAAGAAGUUAAGGCAGAAGAUGAAGAUUAUUACAAAUUAUCCAAGUCAGUUCCGACCAAGUAAUUUGAUUGGACAAGAGGCAUUCCAGUGCUGAUAUAGAGUAUAACAGCACUGGGUCUUUUAACUAUACACGUAUCGCUCCCCUUUACGGGUGUUCUCAUAACCGUUAAUGUUAUUAACAAUCUUUUUGUAGCUUAGAUUGCAGCUAACUUUGCACAGCAAAUAUGAACAUGUUUCCAGGAAUAACAUUGGAGUUGAAUUAAGAAUGGUCGCCAGAAGAGGACCAAGGGAACCUAAUGUAAUGCUAAUGUGUUAAUGUGUUGCUUGGCAACAGUUUGACCAGUUGCGGAUCUAUUUGUGUUGGCGGAGCCAAAUAAAUCAUCAAUGAACCAAAGAAAUCUGAUCAUAAUAUGUUGUUAAUUAUUAUUGUUAACUAAUGAUUGGUGCUUGUAGAACUGUUGUAUAAAAGCAAUAUCACUCAGGAGGGAGUGCUUUUGUACUACGGCUGGGAUUCG
ensembl:lncRNA